GGUAUAUAGCUUAGUGGUAAUAGCAGCGAACUUUUAAUUCGAAUGUCUUAGGUUCGAAUCCUAAUAUAC
rnacentral:tRNA from 1 species